UUCCAGUCGACUUCUAAAAUCCUGAAAAACCAGUUUUGAGUCAGAGUGCUGAAAGUACUGUCUGAUAUACUACAGUGUUACAGUGGUUACCUCUAGGUGUUAGGAUUAUGAGUGAUUUUAUUUUUUUGUACACCCUUAUUUCUCUCUCAAAGUUUUAUGUUGAAAUUAUAUUCCUUUCAAAAUUAGAAAAAACUGAAUAAGAAACUGUUAUGCUGAUACAUAUAGAAGGAAAAGAAUAUUUCCUCUUCAUUUUCUUCUAUAGCAAAAAGAGAGAUUAUGCUAACACCAGUGACUGUGGCUUAUAGUCCAAAGCGAUCCCCUAAAGAAAACUUGUCCCCAGGAUUUAGUCAUCUGCUUAGCAAAAAUGAGAGCAGUCCAAUUCGAUUUGAUAUACUUUUGGAUGAUUUAGAUACUGUUCCUGUGUCUACAUUACAACGUACCAAUCCAAGAAAGCAACUCCAGUUUCUUCCUCUAGAUGACUCGGAAGAAAAAAUGUAUUCUGAGAAAGCCACCGAUAACCAUGUUAAUCAUAGCUCUUGCCCUGAACCGGUGCCAAAUGGAGUGAAGAAAGUAUCUGUGAGAACAGCCUGGGAGAAGAAUAAA
rnacentral:sRNA from 1 species